rnacentral:rRNA from 1 species
GACGAACGCUGGCGGCGUGCUUAACACAUGCAAGUCGAACGGAAAGGCCCUGCUUUUGUGGGGUGCUCGAGUGGCGAACGGGUGAGUAACACGUGAGUAACCUGCCCUUGACUUUGGGAUAACUUCAGGAAACUGGGGCUAAUACCGGAUAGGAGCUCCUGCUGCAUGGUGGGGGUUGGAAAGUUUCGGCGGUUGGGGAUGGACUCGCGGCUUUCAGCUUGUUGGGGGGGUGGUGGCUUACCAAGGCUUUGACGGGUAGCCGGCCUGAGAGGGUGACCGGCCACAUUGGGACUGAGAUACGGCCCAGACUCCUACGGGAGGCAGCAGUGGGGAAUAUUGCACAAUGGGCGGAAGCCUGAUGCAGCAACGCCGCGUGCGGGAUGACGGCCUUCGGGUUGUAAACCGCUUUCGCCUGUGACGAAGCGUGAGUGACGGUAAUGGGUAAAGAAGCACCGGCUAACUACGUG